UGCCAGCCGCCGCGGUAAUACGAAGGGAGCUAGCGUUGUUCGGAAUCACUGGGCGUAAAGCGCACGUAGGCGGAUUGUUUAGUCGGGGGUGAAAUCCCGGGGCUCAACCCCGGAACUGCCUCCGAUACUGGCAAUCUGGAGUCCGGAAGAGGUGGGUGGAAUUCCUAGUGUAGAGGUGAAAUUCUUAGAUAUUAGGAAGAACACCGGUGGCGAAGGCGACUACCUGGACUGAUAUUGACGCUGAGGUGCGAAAGUGUGGGGAGCAAACAGGAUUAGAUA
rnacentral:rRNA from 1 species